ACGCUCUUUCGAUCUAGAAAAAGUUUUGGGGUCCUGAACAUUCUGCGGUGAGCAAGAAAGAGAGAUGUGCCAUGUUUGUGCUCUGUUUUGUUUUCGCUUGUUUUGUUUAUUAAAGAUGAACCUGAUCUUCAUUUCAUUACGCUUGUCUAUAGUCUCGUAUUUCAAGUGUGCAACACUGCUCACAUAAUCCUGUUGGAUGUUUAUUUAUUCAUUUUAAAGUUUUAUUCAACAUGUGACCAACCCUUAAACUUGAUAACAUUUUGAUAUCCUCAC